rnacentral:rRNA from 1 species
CAGUAGCCGCGGUAACACGAGGGGGGCAAGCGUUGUUCGGAAUUAUUGGGCGUAAAGGGUGCGUAGGCGGCUUGACAAGUCUUGUGUGAAAUCUAUGGGCUCAACCCAUAGUCUGCACGGGAAACUGUCGGGCUUGAGAAUGGGAGAGGUGAGUGGAAUUUCCGGUGUAGCGGUGAAAUGCGUAGAUAUCGGAAGGAACACCUGUGGCGAAAGCGGCUCACUGGACCAUUUCUGACGCUGAUGCACGAAAGCUAGGGGAGCAAACAGGAUUAGAUACCCCCGUAGUCCCUGUCUCUUAUAC